rnacentral:misc_RNA from 1 species
AUUCAAACCCUCUAAUAUGGAGGGCCUAAUACCAUAUGUCUACAAGGUCAUGGUUCAGUACAAGGCUGGAGGACAAUCAACAAUGGAAGGUAGCUCAUUUGGUGAAUCAACUAGUGCGCAUUACGUAAGACUUCCAGGCGAUUCAGGACGGUUCAAUCCAUCAAGCAUCCAACUUUUUCUUCCAGAAUAUGUUCGUUCUUCGUCAGCCUCCGCGACGCAUCCAACACUUACUUCUCAACUACUUGCCAUUACAGGAAGCCAAUCCCCUGCCCAUCUUCCUG